GCUGGUGGCUGCUUCUCCAAGCUCUUCAAGAAGACGAGUAAGUGCUGUUGAAGCCUCCACAGGGUCUGAGUAUGAUGCAUAGCCCAGUUCCUCUGAAACUGAGGCAUUAUGUGGAUACUUUUAAAGGAUUGCAUUAUCACUUUCUCUAUUUCUUUCCUCUCAACACUUGCCUUGACCAUCUUUUGAGCACUUUUUUUUCCAGAUACACGAACCUCCUAUUGGACAGGAAUUGCCCCAUACCAUUAAUAAAUGUUGUUGGAAGAACAGCACACGUUAAUGUUGAUGAAGUAGUCAAAUGCUACAGAAUAAAGAAUUCAUCGUCCUUGUUUCUGUAGUAGUUAAGGAUAUGAAAAACAAUACUGAAUAGAAAAAAUAAAAGAAAAUGGAAGGGCUUCUCCAGGUGUGCACCAUCCAUCCUGUGUGCUGAAGGAGAGGUUUCCCUUAGGAGAAUGGAAUUAAACAUCUACCUCUUGAGGAUGUUUGUGGGGCUUUGUUCCAAGAAAGCAUAAGUUCAUCAUGUGUGAAGAUACUGAAAUUGUGGCCUUCUCCAAAGACUGUGGAUUCCUCCAAAACAAAGAUUGUUGCCCUUCUGCUCUCAUGUGCCUCCUGAUGCCCUAGAGAAAACAGAAU